CACUGUCCACCAUGGCCUGGGCUCCUGUUCUCCUUGUGAUCCUCUCUCACUGCUCAGGUUCCCUCUCUCAGCCUGUCCUGACUCAGCCGCCCUCCCUCUCUGCAUCACUGGGAGCAUCAGCCAGACUCACCUGCACCCUGAGCAGUGGCUUCAGUGUUGGGGACUUCUGGAUACACUGGUUCCAGCAGAAUCCGGGGAGCCCUCCCCGGUAUCUCCUGAGGUUCAAGUCAGACUCAGAUAAGCACCAGGGCUCUGGGGUCCCCAACCGCUUCUCUGGAUCCAAAGAUGCCUCAGCCAAUGCAGGGAUCCUGCACAUCUCUGGGCUGCAGGCUGAGGAUGAGGCUGACUAUUACUGUCUGAUAUGGCAUGAGAGCUCUAAGACUUACAUAGUGCUUCAGCCACAUAGGGAAGGACCUCAAGAGGGGCACAGGCUCCAGAGCAGGGUGAGCUCAGCACAGUGCCGGUGGCUGGUCCUGGAGUCCAGGGGGUCCUUGCGACUCUCUGGUAGGACGCACCGGGCAAAACAGUGGACCUAUGACAUCAAGUACCCCUCCAGUGAGGAGAAGGAAGACCCUGCAGGCCACCAGAUCAUAGUUAUUGCCCUGGUCCAUGCCGAGGCAGGGUCCUCAGAUGAAGAGGAAGAGAGCAACCUGACAACCCCCAGAGAGCCCCUGCUCAGUGCUCCCUGCAGCCGUCUGUUCUGCACUCUCCUCAACCGACACCUGGCCAUGAUGUGA